rnacentral:rRNA from 1 species
AGAGUUUGAUCAUGGCUCAGGAUGAACGCUAGCGGCAGGCCUAACACAUGCAAGUCGAGGGGUAGGGGGUGCUUGCAUCCCCGAGACCGGCGCACGGGUGCGUAACGCGUAUGCAACCUACCUUCAGCGGGGGGAUAGCCCAGGGAAACUUGGAUUAAUACCCCAUGGCAUAGGGGACCGGCAUCGGUCCUCUAUUAAAGCUACGGUGGCUGAAGAUGGGCAUGCGUCCCAUUAGCUAGUUGGUGCGGUAACGGCGCACCAAGGCGACGAUGGGUAGGGGCCCUGAGAGGGGGAUCCCCCACACUGGUACUGAGACACGGACCAGACUCCUACGGGAGGCAGCAGUGAGGAAUAUUGGACAAUGGUCGGAAGACUGAUCCAGCCAUGCCGCGUGCAGGAAGACUGCCCUAUGGGUUGUAAACUGCUUUUUUACGGGAAGAAACCUCCCCUCGUGAGGGGAGCUGACGGUACCGUGGGAAUAAGCAUCGGCUAACUCCGUGCCAGCAGCCGCGGUAAUACGGAGGAUGCGAGCGUUAUCCGGAAUCAUUGGGUUUAAAGGGUCCGUAGGUGGAUGGUUAAGUCAGAGGUGAAAUCCUGCAGCUCAACUGUAGAAUUGCCUUUGAUACUGGCCGUCUUGAGUCGCGGUGAAGCAGUUAGAAUAUGUAGUGUAGCGGUGAAAUGCAUAGAUAUUACAUAGAAUACCGAUUGCGAAGGCAGAUUGCUAACCGUGUACUGACACUGAGGGACGAAAGCGUGGGGAGCGAACAGGAUUAGAUACCCUAGUAGUCC